AAAAAUAGAAGCAAUAAUUGUCAGGAUAUGAUCAUUUGCAGAUGCUCCUCCAGUUGCAAUAAUCUUUUUGGGUGGAGAAGGCAUUCCAAGUCUCUCGGCAUGAGCUCGCAUGGAGAGUAACUGCCCCUCAAUUAUCGCUCGAACCUGUAAGUACCAGUCACCUCCAUUUGUGUUUGUGUCUCUAUAUGUUAAUUAAGUCUUUUCAUGAUUCAGAUAACUUCUUCAAUAGAAGGCCACUUACCUCUGAAGGCGGAUCAAACUCUUCUACUUCAUGUUCUAUUACUCCAUCCAUGGAGUCACCUGUGAAAUUAUCAAGAACGUAGCGGUGGAAACCAACUGGAGACCAAGCUUGU
rnacentral:lncRNA from 1 species